CCUUAUGUAUACGUGUCUAUACGUGUUAGCAAUCUAAGGCGUCAUUAUCUUCCCCACAGUCUUUCUCUCUCUAUUCCUCCACCGCCUUAUCUCGAUCCUUCCUCAAUCCUCUGUGAUUUUUCCUCUUCUACCACCAUCUUCCUCCACUCAAGAAAUCUCCACUGGCUUUGAUUCCCCGAUUUAUGAUCCAAUGAGAUUGGGUUUUUUUACUUCUUCACGUUUUUCUUACCGAUCUCCUUUUUUGUAUUUCUUCAACCUUUUGUUACCGACUCCUUUUUUCUCCAUCCACCGCCAUCGUUGUUUGAUGUUGCACCUUCUGUCUUCAAUCGGUUACCACCCUCCACUUCAUCUCUACCCAUUGUUUUCGACUUUAACACACCGGUCAUCUUCGUUUCCCUUUUCUGGCUUCCAAUCAAACGAUUAGGUCGAUGCCUACCAGUCACCGCUUCCACCUCUUACAUCCAUUCUCUGAUCAAAUACGUACACAAAUGUACACCAGAUGGCACUGUCUCCAUGUUUCUUCUCAUACGCUUUCGUGUCCGUUUACACCUAUUACAAACACGGAUUUUUGUUCUGUGCUCUCACUUUCACUUCAUCGUCUUCUUCUUCCAAUUAACCUCUUCCAACAUCUCCACAACAUCUCUUCCGCUGGACCGCCUGUAUACCAGCACCGUCUGUUCCCCGUCUUCAUCUUCUCUGUCUCUCUACCACCACCAGCAACCCACUCCCGGCGCAUCGUCUGCGACACAGCCCCAACUCACUAAAAGCAUCGACUUUCUCCCCUACCUCUCUCAGCGAAUCGGAUCCGUUCUUCUCAUCAGAUGUGAACCCAAAAUCCUCUAUCAGGAAUCACGCUUCAUCAGUUGUGCCGCCACCAAUUGAGGACGAUUUUGCUUCCAAUCAAACGCUUACAGAGACCUGCCAACUCCUCCUUCAUUAUACGCAUCUGGAAUGUCGUUUACAUCCGCCACUGAAUAUCAAAGGGUUUCAAUUGGAUGGAGAGGGACAACGGUGGGAGGCUAAGCGAAAGUCUCCUUUGCUUCAGUUUUUGGAGUUAUCAACAACACUUUGAAAUAUCCACUUUCUUCAAUUGUUUAGUUUAUUUUCUUUGUGGGGGUAAACAACUGCUAAAUGAUUUUAUGUUUUUGUUUAGGUUUUCAUCUGUUUUCAGAUUUCGUAUCACCUGUGUUCACCAUCGUUAAACCCCUACGCCUAUGUUUCUUUUCUAAAAGAACAGUUGAUGUAUUGAUUUCUUUGAUCUGAGGAAGGUACCAUCACAUUAACUUCAUUUUCUUUAUCAGUUGUUAUAGAAACUACUUUCAUCAAUCGCCCAAAUUUUUUACAUCAACUUAUUACUUAUGACAUUGAAGUGGGAAAGGGAAGUAUGGGUGACAUCAGACACAUGUAAUCCAACAAGUGGAUGUAUAUGUGAAUCCUUUGCCUUUUUUUUUUCCUGAACUCUUAAUGCUUUAGGGUAAGAAGGAAGCACAUAAAUUGUAAAAUAAAUGUUUUACUAAUAAUUGUAAAAUAGGUCAUAAAUCAACAUAGCAAGAUAAUGUUGGAAUAGCAAAAUAAAUGUUUUACUAAUAAUUGUAAAAUAGGUCAUAAAUUGGAUAUCUUUCUUAUUUCAUUAAUAGUUUUUAAUGUGAAGUGGAAAAUACUUUUAUUUUUCAAUUUAGGUAAUUUUAAGAAAAUGUUUUUUUAACGUUUUUGUUUUAUAUUUUUAAUCUCUUAACAGUUUGCUUUUCUUAAGUUCCAAUGAAAUUGUAAAUCUUAUAAUUAUUUGUGUUCACAACUUCGCAUGUUAUAUUUGAGGUUAAUGUUGUUAUCCAAACUUUUUCACAACUUACAACUACUUUAUUACUUUACAAUUAAAUUAAUGUUAUUUAUCUAGAUAUAUAAAAAUCAUUAACUAUUAAUUUAGUGAAGGGUAUUCCACAUGAUAAAAGCUGCACAACAGCCAAGAGAUGAAAGAGAUGUGUAGAGGUUUCUAACCUUAUUGCAAAAGUUGAAGUUGUAAGCGAUAUAUUUUUACAAAAAAAAAUAUACUUUUUUUUUCUAGAUUUAUUGCUUUUUGUUAAUACCGAUUAUUCUCUCUCAUCAUAUGUCUGUGUGAAUCAGAACAUAUUUUUGUAACCAUUUUUAAAUAGUUAUUUUAUUUGUUAUUUGUCACUCUAAACAGGAUUUACAGUGCUAUGAAGAAUCAGUUCUCCAUCUUAUCUAAGAAGAAAGCAAAGUUUGACUCAUCAAAUAAAAAGAACAACAGCACCGACAUGAAUGCUAAUAAAAAAAAAAAAAGCAGACAAAAUCCAGAUAAAGUUCAAGAAACUUCAAUAAGACAUGAAUAUAGGAUAAAUUCAUAAUACCUUGCCUAGAAUGAAAUCCAAGAACAGUUUAUCUUAUUGGAAUUGGAGAACCUUUCUAUUCACCUAAAGUACUAUAGCCAGAAGAGAGCUUUCCAUAGCCAUUCAACAAACUAUUUUUACCAAAAUAGACAGUAAUGUUAUCGUUGAAGAUGAAAAGGGGAAGAUACAUUAUCUCAAAGAUAUUGUGCUUGAAGGGGACAAUUUACUCUUAUAGGUAGUCCAACAAUUUAAAUUCAAGGUGAUAUCCAGGUUCAUAUAAUACACAAAUAACAGAAAGGUUCAAUUUAUGAAAAAGCUGCCACAUCAUUUCUUUGAGGCUGCAUUUACUAAGUGUUAUACAAAAUCUAUACCCCUCGCUGCCCCUAUAUCUGCCAAAGUCUAAUCUCAUUCUGUAAUUGAUGUUGGUCGAAUAUGUUUGUUGUAGUAAACUGAAGGGUAAUUGCAACUAUAAGUAUAUCACUACUAGGGAUAUCUUUCUGAAAUAGUUUUGCAGUGCUUUAAUGUAUUUCUAUUACCUGUCAGAAGUUAUGGAAGAUCUUAAUUUGUAAAUUAUUAACUAUUUUAACAGGGCUGCAAUUUAAUUGUGCAAGGGGAGAAUAAAAGAUUAAUAUUCUUUAACAUGCUUAUGUUGGAUUGUUGAUGUCAGAUUAUCACUUAAAAUUCUGUUUUCUGCAUGCUAAUAUUGUGACUACAAUUCAAAAUUUGGACUAGGUUUCACAUAAUUUGAAUAAGAAGAUCGAUGUGUCAAAUUUCUUCAUAAUUUAAGCUCAUGUGUAACAUUUUUCUUAACUGUAUUUCUAAUUUGAACGAAGAUUACUAUUUUGAAAAUAUUACUAUAA